AACUUGUAUCUCCUGCAAUUCUCCUGCAUUACAGGCAGAUUCUUUACUGCUGAGUCACUGGGAGGGGUGUCAGUCUGCAACUAGAGGACCUCAACAUGGUUAUUCAAGAUGUCUUGUGGUAUGGUUGCUCCACCAUCUUCCCAUCCUGGAAAAGCGGAGAUGCCAAGAUGCACAGCUGACUCCAGAAUUUUGCUCCUGCUUCUAGGAUAGGCAAGAUGGCCAGUUAUCACCCUCCUUGUGCUCAGAAUUCUGCCAGGUGGCAGAAGCCACCUGUUCUAGGAGAGCCUUCUCUUGGGACAAGUGUGUACAUUAUAAAUGAAAAGCUUAUUUUUAGCACCCUGAAUCCAUCAGAGACCACCAAAGUGGCCUUCAUUACCCAUUCUAGCUCAGCAUGACUGGAGGGCAGAGAUGGUAGGAAAACCUCUUGAGAAACUGACACAUCUUCCUCCAAAAUUGGAUCUUUGCCUGCUUCAACUCUCAUCUCUGUUUGCCAAAUAAAUAUUUAGGUACCUAAAACCUGGCAUAGUUUUAGCUCUGAGGACCCAGCAAUAAUCAAGAGACCCCAUGCCAGCCCUAUGGUUCUCAUAAUUGGUGAGGAGGAUAUCACAAAAUAACCACAGAUUUUGAAGUGAUUGAAAGUGCAGUAACCCUCAUAAUUUCUCCUGACACCUCGGCUCCAGCCUCAGUCUCAGUUUCUGUGCCUAUUUGAAGAAGUUUUGUUUCAAGUCCUUCGUGUCUGAGUCCCUCUGUGUCACCUGUAUCGUAACCAAAAAGUUGGUCGUCGUAGAGGACACCAACAACUCUGGGACUGUCUCCAUGACAACACAUCAGCAUAUCCUGCCCUCAGAGCCCUGGAGACCCUACCCUACAUUCGUGUACCAUUUAUAAUAAUCAUUCUUGAUAUUCUGUAACUGAUGAUUCAGCAUCUUGAAAUCAUGAGAAAAUUAAAGACCAAUGUUGUUUACA